GUUUAAAGAUGCAAAGUUUCCGUCUCUUUUCCUUUGUGCUUUUUGCAGUCAACUUCAAGUGGGAGUCUAUCCACGCUCGCAAGAGUUUUUCUUUCCUCAAAGUGAUGUGAUAUGAUAGUUGUCCGCUUCUUGAUCGCGAGCGGAAACAGGCGCUAAGAAAUACCUUGAAAAGUUUCUUUUACUGGGCUGAAGUGUCCUUUGACUUUUUCAAGGCAGAUGAUAGUG